rnacentral:rRNA from 1 species
GAUGAAUGCUGGCGGCGUGCCUAAUACAUGCAAGUCGAGCGGUAACAUGAGAAGCUUGCUUCUUGAUGACGAGCGGCGGACGGCUGAGUAACGCGUGGGAACGGACCCUAAACUGAGGAAUAACCACUUGAAAGAGUGGCUAAUACCGCAUGUGAUCUUCGGAUUAAAGUCUUCGGACGGUUUGGGACUGGCCUGCGUAGGAUUAGAUAGUUGGUGAGGUAAUGGCUCACCAAGUCGACGAUCCUUAGAUGGUUUGAGAGGAUGAUCAUCCAGACUGGGACUGAGACACGGCCCAGACUCCUACGGGAGGCAGCAGUAGGGAAUCUUUCACAAUGGGCGAAAGCCUGAUGAAGCAACGCCGCGUGCAGGAUGACGGCCUUCGGGUUGUAAACUGCUUUUAUAAGUGAGGAAUAUGACGGUAGCUUAUGAAUAAGGAUCGGCUAACUACGUG